CUCCUUGAUAACAUUGUUCCUUUUUUAAAUAAAUAAAUAAAUAAAUUGUUAUGUAGUUUUUUAGCAUGUAAAUAAAGAAAUUUCUUCGAUUUGAGAGUAUUAUAGAAUUUCAUUACCUUCAUCGUAAUGGAGUUCCGCUGCAUAAUUGUUGUAAUUUUGAAAAGGAGAUGGUAGAUUGGAGGUGAAUAUUAGUUUUCAAUUUAUAAUUUGUUAGUGAUUUCAUUUUUUAUUUAACAAUAAUUUGAUGAUAUUAAUGGUGAAAAUGGUAUUAUAAUAGUGACGUGAUGAAGACUACUCUGAAGGAUUGACGAACAUGACGUCUACGUAAAGGAUUCUUGGUGAUGAAGGACUGAAGAAGAGCAAAGGAGC
rnacentral:lncRNA from 1 species